rnacentral:rRNA from 1 species
CGUCGCAUGCUUCCGGGCGCCAUGGCGGCCGCGGGAAUUCGAUUAGAGUUUGAUCAUGGCUCAGAACGAACGCUGGCGGCAUGCCUAACACAUGCAAGUCGAACGAAGGCUUCGGCCUUAGUGGCGCACGGGUGCGUAACGCGUGGGAAUCUGCCCCUUGGUUCGGAAUAACAGUUAGAAAUGACUGCUAAUACCGGAUGACGACGUAAGUCCAAAGAUUUAUCGCCGAGGGAUGAGCCCGCGUAGGAUUAGCUAGUUGGUGUGGUAAAGGCGCACCAAGGCGACGAUCCUUAGCUGGUCUGAGAGGAUGAUCAGCCACACUGGGACUGAGACACGGCCCAGACUCCUACGGGAGGCAGCAGUGGGGAAUAUUGGACAAUGGGCGAAAGCCUGAUCCAGCAAUGCCGCGUGAGUGAUGAAGGCCUUAGGGUUGUAAAGCUCUUUUACCCGGGAUGAUAAUGACAGUACCGGGAGAAUAAGCUCCGGCUAACUCCGUGCCAGCAGCCGCGGUAAUACGAAUCACUAGUGAAUUCGCGGCCGCCUGCAGGUCGACCAUAUGGGAGAGCUCCCAACGCGUUG